GUGCUAGCUUCAGCGGCACAUAUACUAAAAUUGGAAUGUUGCAGAGAUUAGCACGGUCCCUGCACAAGGAUGAGGAAUAACUAUAAGAAAUUGUUUUAAGAAAAAUUAU